GACGAACGCUGGCGGCGUGCUUAACACAUGCCAGUCGAACGGACAGGCCCUGCUUUUGUGGGGUGCUCGAGUGGCGAACGGGUGAGUAACACGUGAGUAACCUGCCCUUGUCUUUGUGAUAACUUCAGGAAACUGGGGCUAAUACCGGAUAGGAGCUCCUGCUGCAUGGUGGGGGUUGGAAAGUUUCGGCGGUUGGGGAUGGACUCGCGGCUUAUGAGCUUGUUUGUGGGGUAGUGGCUUACCAAGGCUUUGACGGGUAGCCGGCCUGAGAGGGGGACCGGCCACAUGGGGACUGCGAUACGGCCCAGACGCCUACGGGAGGCAGCAGUGGGGAAUAUGGCACAAUGGGCGGAAGCCUGAUGCAGCAACGCCGCGUGCGGGAUGACGGCCUUCGGGUUGUAAACCGCUUUCGCCUGUGACGAAGCGUGAGUGACGGUAAUGGGUAAAGAAGCACCGGCUAACUACGUG
rnacentral:rRNA from 1 species